rnacentral:rRNA from 1 species
CCUACGGGUGGCUGCAGUGGGGAAUAUUGGACAAUGGGGGGAACCCUGAUCCAGCCAUGCCGCGUGUGUGAAGAAGGCCCUCGGGUUGUAAAGCACUUUCAGUGAGGAAGAACGCCUGGUGGUUAAUACCCAUCAGGAAAGACAUCACUUACAGAAGAAGCACCGGCUAACUCCGUGCCAGCAGCCGCGGUAAUACGGAGGGUGCGAGCGUUAAUCGGAAUUACUGGGCGUAAAGCGCGCGUAGGUGGCUUGAUAAGCCGGUUGUGAAAGCCCCGGGCUCAACCUGGGAACGGCAUCCGGAACUGUCAAGCUAGAGUGCAGGAGAGGAAGGUAGAAUUCCCGGUGUAGCGGUGAAAUGCGUAGAGAUCGGGAGGAAUACCAGUGGCGAAGGCGGCCUUCUGGACUGACACUGACACUGAGGUGCGAAAGCGUGGGUAGCAAACAGGAUUAGAUACCCCAGUAGUC